rnacentral:lncRNA from 1 species
AGUUUAUGAUAAAAUAGGUUAUAAAAAUACAAUUUUCACUAGUGUGAACUUAUAAAAUAACAUAAAACAUAAUUUAUAUUGCAUAAACUGUUUGCAUAUGCUCAAAAAUAAGCUAAUCCAAACGGGGACCUAAAUCUCAACUAACUGAACCGACUAAAAUAACAAAAAAAAACUAAUUGGACUAACAGUUACUUAAGAAUCCCUCAUGGAAACCCACUUGGGUUGGUCUAGUGGUGUUGGCUUGGGUCCUUGGAGUAUGCUCCUCUCAAGGUGUUAGGUUCGAUUCCUUCGUGUGCCAAUUUCGGUGGGAUAGUUCAUACAGAGCAACAAAAAAACUAUGGCUUUAUAUGGGGCCGUGCAAGUGGGCGGUGAGAUUGGUCGUCUCGGAUUAGUCGGUCCUAGGAUCGGAUACCGAUCGAGUUUCUUUUUUUAAAAAAAGAAUCCCUCGUGGAUCAAUUUUUUUUUCUCAAACAAUCCAAUAUCACUUAAUUGGAAUGACACACAUAGGAUUCAAACUUUCGGCAAGAUAAUGGUUCAAUAUCAACUAGUUGGAUUUCCCGUGACUCAAAAAACUUAGUUCAUAUAUGACCUGACUAUUAAGUCUCAACUAAUAAUGCCGACUGUGAUUAAAAAAAUCAAAAUUUAUAGAUCAAACUCUUCAACUUGAAACAUAGUUCAUAUGCAAAACCUAACUAAUUAUACUUGUUUUUAAUUAAGGAAUUCAAUUUUUC